GAGUUUGAUCCUGGCUCAGGACGAACGCUGGCGGCGUGCCUAAUACAUGCAAGUCGAGCGAGCUUGCCUAGAUGAUUUUAGUGCUUGCACUAAAUGAAACUAGAUACAAGCGAGCGGCGGACGGGUGAGUAACACGUGGGUAACCUGCCCAAGAGACUGGGAUAACACCUGGAAACAGAUGCUAAUACCGGAUAACAACACUAGACGCAUGUCUAGAGUUUGAAAGAUGGUUCUGCUAUCACUCUUGGAUGGACCUGCGGUGCAUUAGCUAGUUGGUAAGGUAACGGCUUACCAAGGCAAUGAUGCAUAGCCGAGUUGAGAGACUGAUCGGCCACAUUGGGACUGAGACACGGCCCAAACUCCUACGGGAGGCAGCAGUAGGGAAUCUUCCACAAUGGACGAAAGUCUGAUGGAGCAACGCCGCGUGAGUGAAGAAGGGUUUCGGCUCGUAAAGCUCUGUUGGUAGUGAAGAAAGAUAGAGGUAGUAACUGGCCUUUAUUUGACGGUAAUUACUUAGAAAGUCACGGCUAACUACGUGCCAGCAGCCGCGGUAAUACGUAGGUGGCAAGCGUUGUCCGGAUUUAUUGGGCGUAAAGCGAGCGCAGGCGG
rnacentral:rRNA from 1 species